rnacentral:sRNA from 1 species
CCCAGAGGUAUUGAUUGGUGAGAAUUUUUUAGUACGAUUACGUACUUCUCUUCUUGCACCGACCUGCGCAGAUGCGCAGGUUUUUUUU